rnacentral:lncRNA from 1 species
CCCAACCCUAGGUGCAUGGGCCCUAGGGGGGUGUGGCGCCCCAGCCCACUUGGGCUGGUUCCCUUCUCCAUACAGCCCAUAAGGCCCUCCGUAAGAGGUGGACCCUCCCGGUGGACCCCCGGAACCCCUCCGGUGGCCCCGGUACAAUACCGAUAUGCCCCCGAAACUUUCCGGCGACCAUAUGACAACUUCCCAUAUAUAAAUCUUUACCUCCGGACCAUUACGGAACUCCUCGUGACGUCCGUGAUCUCAUCCGGGACUCCGAACAACAUUCAGUAAUCACAUACAAGUCUUCCUAACAACCCUAGCAUCACUGAACCUUAAGUGUGUAGACCCUACGGGUUCGGGAGACAUGCAGAUAUGACCGAGACGACUCUCCGGUCAAUAACCAACAGCGGGAUCUGGAUACCCAUGUUGGCUCCCACAUGCUCCACGAUGAUCUCAUCGGAUGAACCAUGAUGUCGAGGAUUCAAUCAAUCCGUAUACAAUUCCCUUUGUCAAUCGGUACGUUACUUGUCCGAGACUCGAUCGUCGGUAUCCCAAUACCUUGUUCAGUCUCGUUACCGGCAAGUCACUUUACUCGUACCGUAAUGCAUGAUCCUGUGAUCAACCACUUGAUCACAUUGAGCUCAUUAUGAUGAUGCAUUACCGAGUGGGCCCAGAGAUACCUCUCCGUCAUACGGAGUGACAAAUCCCAGUCUCGAUUCGUGCCAACCCAACAAACACUUUCGGAGAUACCUGUAAUGUACCUUUAUAGUCACCCAGUUACGUUGUGACGUUUGGCACACCCAAGGCACUCCUACGGUAUCCGGGAGUUGCACAAUCUCAUGGUCUAAGGAAAUGAUACUUGACAUUCAGAAAAGCUACAGCAAACGAACUACACGAUCUUUGAGCUAAGCUUAGGAUUGGGUCUUGUCCAUCACAUCAUUCUCCUAAUGAUGUGAUCCUGUUAUCAAUGACAUCUAAUGUCCAUAGUCAGGAAACCAUGACUAUCCUUUGAUCAACGAGCUAGUCAACUAGAGGCUCACUAGGGACGUGUUGUGGUCUAUUUAUUCACACAUGUAUUACGAUUUCCGGAUAACACAAUUAUAGCAUGAACAAUAGACAAUUAUCAUGAACAAAGAAAUAUAAUAAUAACCAUUUUAUUAUUGCCUCUAGGGCAUAUUUCCAAAUCUUUUGGAAUCACUUGAUUAUGAAUCACUUGGUACUUGCGAACCAUGCCUCAUGGGCAAGAUGACUAAAACGCCGUUCUCCGGAACUAUGGAGCGAGCAACAGAUUUGUUAGAAAUCAUACAUACUGAUAUGUGUUGGCCGAUGAAUAUUGAGGCUCGUGGCGGGUAUCGUUAUUUUCCCAUCUUCACAGAUGAUUUGAGCAGAUAUGGGUAUAUCUAGCUACUUGAUGAAACAUAAGUAUGAAACAUUUGAAAAGUUCAAAGAAUUUUAGAGUGAAGUGGAAAAUCAUUGUAACAAGAAAAUAAAGUUUCUACGAUCUGAUCGUGGAGGAUAAUGUUUGAGUUACGAGUUUGGUCUUCAUUUGAAACAAUGCGGAAUAGUUUCGCAACUCACGCCACCCGGAACACCACAGCGUAAUGGUGUGUCCGAACGCCGUAAUUGUACUAUACUAGAUAUGGUACGAUCUAUGAUGUCUCUUAUUGAUUUAACGCUAUCAUUUCGGGGUUAUGCUUUAGAGAUGGCUGCAUUCACGUUAAAUAGGGCACCAUCUAAAUCCAUUGAGACAACACCUUAUGAACUGUGGUUUGACAAGAAACCAAAGUUGUCAUUUCUUAAAGUUUGGGGCUGUGAUGCUUAUGUGAAAAAGCUUCAACCUGAUAAGCUCGAACCCAAAUCGGAGAAAUGUGUCUUCAUAGGAUACCCAAAGGAGACUGUUGGGUACACCUUCUAUCACAGAUCCGAAGGCAAGACAUUCGUUGCUAAGAAUGGAUCCUUUCUAGAGAAGGAGUUUCUCUCGAAAGAAGUGAGUGGGAGGAAAGUAGAACUUGAUGAGGUAAUUGUAUCUGCUCCCUUAUUGGAAAGUAGUUCAUCACAGAAAUCUGUUCCUGUGACUCCUACACCAAUUAGUGAGAAGCUAAUUAUGAAGAUCAUGUAAAUUCAGAUGAACUUACUACCGAACCUCGUAGGUUAACCAGAGUAAGAUCCGCACCAGAGUGGUACAGUAAUCCAGUUCUGGGGGUCAUGUUACUUGACCAUGACGAACCUACGAACUAUGAGGAAGCGAUGAUGAGCCCAGAUUCCGCAAAAUGGCUUGAGGCCAUGAAAUCUAAGAUGGGAUCCAUGUAUGAGAACAAAGUGUAGACUUUGGUUGACUUGCCUGAUGAUCGGCAAGCCAUCGAGAAUAAAUGGAUCUUCAAUAAGAAGCCUGACGCUGACGGUAAUGUUACUGUCUACAAAGCUCGACUUCAUUACCAGAUUGUGUUUCAGCAUCAGAAAUAGAAAUAUCAUUUGGAUUCUCAGGUGUUUCAGUAAUAGGUUCACUAGAAGCAUGCAAAGUCCUAUCAUUUUUCUUUUUCUUCCUUUUAGAAGGACUAGGUGCAUCUAUAUUAUUUCUCUGAGAAUCUUGCUCAAUUCUCUUAGGGUGGCCUUCAGAUGCAGAGAUUCCUGAGUCAUUCUACCAGUUCUAGUAGCCACUCUAACAGCAUAAUCAUUAUUCUUACUAUUCAAUUCAUUGUGCAAAUCAUUUUGAGCUUUAAGUACUUGUUCUACUUGAGUGGUAACCAUAGAAGCAUGUUUAAUAAUAAGUUUAAGUUCACCUUUGACAUUAGCCAUAUAAUCACCCAAGUGUUCAAGCAUAUUUGAAUUGUAUUUCAAUUGUCUACCAAAAUAAGCAUUAAAAUCUUCUUGCUUCACCAUAAAAUUAUCAAACUCAUCUAAGCAUUGGCUAGCAAACUUAGUAAGACGGAUUUUAGCUUUAUCAUAUCUAUAGAGAGAAUUUACCUUUACUACCUGUGUCGGGUUAUCAAGACCAUGUAUUUCUUCAAUAGGUAAUAUAUUAAGAUCAUAUGUUUCUUCAACAUGCGGUAAAUUAAGACCGUGUAUUUCUUCAAUAGGAGGUAAAUUCUUAACAUCUUCAUCUUUAAUACCUUUUUCUUUCAAAGAUUUCUUUUCCUCUUGCAUAUCUUCAGGACUGAGAAAUAGAACACCUCUUUUCUUCGGAGUUGGUUUAUGAAUAGGCUCAGGCAGUGUCCAAUUAUUUUCAUUUGUCAACAUAUUAUUCAAUAGAAUUUCAUCUUCAUCCGAUGUUCUUUCCCUAAAAACAGAACCAGCACAACUAUCCAGGUAAUCUCUGGAAGCAUCGGUUAGUCCAUUAUAAAAGAUAUCAAGUAUUUCAUUUUUCUUAAGAGGAUGAUCAGGCAAAGCAUUAAGUAACUUGAGAAGCCUCCCCCAAGCUUGUGGGAGACUCUCUUCUUCACUUUGCACAAAAUUAUAUAUAUCCCUCAAAGCAGCUUGUUUCUUAUGAGUAGGGAAAUAGCUAGCAGAGAAGUAAUAAAUCAUAUCCUGGGGACUACGCACACAACCAGGAUCAAGAGAAUUAAACCAUAUCUUAGCAUCACCCUUUAAUGAGAAUGGAAAUAUUUUAAUGAUAUAAAGGUAGCGCGAUUUCUCAUCAUUAUUGAACAGGGUGGUAUUAUUUAAUUUAGUAAGAUGUGCCACAACAGUUUCAGAUUUAUAGCCAUGAAAAGGAUCAGAUUCAACCAAAGUAAUUAUAUCAGGAUCAAUAGAGAAUUCAUAAUGCUUAUCAGUAACACAGAUAGGUGAAGUAGCAAAAGCAGGGUCAGGUUUCAUUCUAGCAUUAAGAGAUUGCUGCUUCCAUUUAGCUAAUAACCUCUUGAGCUCGUAUCUAUGUUUCCAAGCUAAAAUAGCUAAAGCAGCUUCCUUUUCAGAAACAUAACCCUCAGGAAUAACAGGUGAUUCAUAUUUAUUAGGGGAGAGUCUUCAUCAUCACUUUCAUCAAUGUUAUCAGUUUCAAUAAUUUCAUUCUCUCUAACCCUAGCAAGUUGUUCAUCAAGAAAUUCACCAAGUGGCACAGUAGUAUCAAGCAUAGAAGUAGUUUCAUCAUAAGUAUCAUGCAGAGCAGAAGUGGCAUCAUCAAUAACAUGUGACAUAUCAGAACGAAUAGCAGAAGCAGGUUUAGGUGUUGCAAGCUUACUCAAAACAGAAGGUGAAUCGAGUGCAGAGCUAGAUGGUAGUUCCUUACCUCCCCUCGUAGUUGAGGGAUAAAUCUUGGUUUUUGGAUCUCUCAAGUUCUUCAUAAUGAUAGGCAAAUAUAAAUCCCAUGUGACUCAAAUAAUAGAGCUAUGCUCCCGGCAACGGCGUCAGAAAAUAGUCUUGACAACCCACAAGUAUAGGGGAUUGCAACAGUUUUCGAGGGUAGAGUAUUCAACCCAAAUUUAUUGAUUCGACACAAGGGGAGGCAAAGAAUAUUAUCAAGUAUUAGUAGCUGAGUUGUCAAUUCAACCACACCUGGAAACUUAAUAUCUGUAGCAAAGUGUUUAGUAGCAAAGUAAUAUGAUAGUAGUGGUAACGAUAGCAAAAGGUAAUGGUAGCAAAAGUACUGUUUUGGUACUUUGUAGUGAUGAUAGCAAUAGCAACGGAAAAGUAAAUAGGCGAAGAACAAUAUAUGAAAAGCUCGUAGGCAAUGGAUCGGUGAUAGAGAAUUAUGCCGAAUGCAGUUCAUCAUGUAACAGUCAUAACCUAGGGUGACACAGAACUAGCUCCAAUUCAUCAAUGUAAUAUAGGCAUGUAUUCCGAAUAUAGUCAUACGUGCUUAUGGAAAAGAACUUGCAUGACAUCUUUUGUCCUAUCCUCCCGUGGCAGGGGGGUCCUAAUGGAAACUAAGGGAUAUUAAGGCAUCCUUUUAAUAGAGUAGCGGACCAAAGCAUUAACACAUAGUGAAUACAUGAACUCCUCAAACUACGGUCAUCACCGGGAGUGGUCCCAAUUAUUGUCACUUCGGGGUUGCUGGAUCAUAACACAUAGUAGGUGACUAUAGACUUGCAAGAUAGGAUCAAGAACUCAAAUAUAUUCAUGAAAACAUAAUAGGUUCAGAUCUGAAAUCAUGGCACUCGGGCCCUAGUGACAAGCAUUAAGCAUAGCAAAGUCAUAGCAACAUCAAUCUCAGAACAUAGUGGAUACUAGGGAUCAAACCCUAACAAAACUAACUCGAUUACAUGAUAAAUCUCAUCCAACCCAUCACCGUCCAGCAAGCCUACAACGGAAUUACUCACGCACGGCAGUGAGCAGCAUGAAAUUGGUGAUGGAGGAUGGUUGAUGAUGACGAUGGCGACGGAUUCCCCUCUCUGGAGCCCCGAACGGACUCCAGAUCAGCCCUCCCGAGAGGUUUUACGGCUUGGCGGCGGCUCCGUAUCGUAAAACGCGUUGAAUCCUUCUCUCUUAUUUGUUCUCCCGAAAGCAAAUAUAUAGAGUUGGAGUUGAGGUCGGAGGAGCUCCAGGGGGCCCAUGAGGUAGGGGGCGCGACGUGGGGGCAGACGCGCCCCCACCCUCGUGGCUAGGGUGUGGGCCCCCUGUUCUUCAUCUUUUGCAAGGAUUUUUUAUUAUUUCCAAAAAUACGUUCCGUGAAGUUUCAGGUUAUUCCGAGAACUUCUAUUUCUGCACAUAAAUAACACCAUGGUAAUUCUGCUGAAAACAGCGUCAGUCCGGGUUAGUUUCAUUCAAAUCAUGCAAGUUAGAGUCCAAAACAAGGGCAAAAGUGUUUGGAAAAGUAGAUACGACGGAGACGUAUCAACUCCCCCAAGCUUAAACCUUUGCUUGUCCUCAAGCAAUUCAGUUGAUAAACUGAAAGUGAUAAAGAAAUUUUUUUACAAACUCUGUUUGCUCUUGUUGUUGUAAAUAUGUAAAGUCAACAUUCAAGUUUUCAGCAAAGAUUAUUAACUAACCAUAUUCACAAUAACGCAUAGGUCUCAUGUUUACUCAUAUCAAUGGCAUAAUCAACUAGCGAGCAAUAAUAAUAAAUCUCAGAUGACAACACUUUCUCAAAACAAUCAUAAUAUGAUAUAAUAAGAUGGUAUCUCGCUAGCCCUUUCUGAGACCGCAAAACAUAAAUGCAGAGCACCUUUAAAGAUCAAGGACUGACUAGACAUUGUAAUUCAUGGUAAAAGAGAUCCAGUCAAGUCAUACUCAAUGUAAACUAAUAGUAAUGAAUGCAAAUGACAGCGGUGCUCUCCAACUGGUGCUUUUUAAUAAGAGGAUGAUGACUCAACAUAAAAGUAAAUAGAUAGGCCCUUCGCAGAGGGAAGCAGAGAUUUGUAGAGGUGCCAGAGCUCGGUUUUGAAACAGAGGUGAAUAAUAUUUUGAGCGGUAAACUUUCAUUGUCAACAUAACAACCAAGAGAUGGCGAUAUCUUCCAUGCUACAAACAUUAUGGGCGGUUCCCAAAUAGAAUGGUAAAGUUUAUACUCCCCCUCCACCAACAAGCAUCAAUCCAUGGCUUGCUCGAAACAACGAGUGCCUCCAACUAACAAGAGUCCCAGGUGGAGUUUUGUUUGCAAUUAUUUUGAUUUAGUUUGCAUAAAGCAUGGGACUGGGCAUCCCGAUGACCAGCCAUUUUCUUGUGAGUGAGGAGCAGAGUCCACUCCUCUUGAGAAUAACCCGCCUAACAUGGAAGAUCCGGACAUCCCUAGUUGAUACAUGAGCUAUUCGAGCAUACAAAACAGGAUAUUUAUUUGAAGGUUUGGAGUUUGGCACAUACAAAUUUACUUGGAACAGCGGGUAGAUACCGUAUAUAGGUAGGUAUGGUGGACUCAUAUGGAAUAACUUUGGGGUUUAUGGAGUUGGAUGCACAAGCAGUAUUCCCGCUUAGUACAGGUGAAGGCUAGAAAAAGACUGGGAAGCGACCAGCUAGAGAGCGACAACAGUCAUGAACAUGCAUUAAAAUUAAUCAACACCUAAUGCAAGAAUGAGUAGGAUAUAAUCCACCAUGAACAUAAAUAUCAUGAAGGCUAUGUUGAUUUUGUUUCAACUACAUGCGUGAACAUGUGCCAAUUCAAGUCACUUAAAUCAUUUAGAGGAGGAUACCACCCUAUCAUACCACAUCACAACCAUUUUAAUAGCAUGUAGGCACGCAAGGUAAACCAAUAUAAGCUCCUAGCUAAUCAAGCAUGUCACAAGAAACUAUGAUCUCUAGUUGUCACUGCAAUCAUGUUUAUUCAUAAUAGGCUGAAUCGGGAACGAUGAACUAAUCAUAUUUACAAAAACAAGAGAGGUCGAGUUCAUACCAGCUUUUCUAAUCUCAGUCAGUCCGUCAUAUAUCGUCAUAAUUGCCUUUCACUUGCACGAUCGAAUGUUGUGAAUAAUAAUAAUAAUAAUAAUAAUAAUAAUAAUAAUAAUAAUAAUAAUAAUAAUAAUAAUAAUAAUAAUAAUAAUAAUAAUAGUGCACAUGCAUUGGACUAAGCAGGAAUCUGCAAGCAUUCAAUAAAUAGGAGAAGACAAGGCAAUAUGGGCUCUUUUGUCAGAUCAACAAUAAUGCAUAUAAGAGCCACUUCAACAAUUUAAUCAUGGUCUUCUCCUUUCGACCCCCAAAGAAAAGAAAAGAAAUAAAACUAUUUACACGGGAAAGCUCCCAACAAGCAAAAGAAGAAAAGGAAAUAUUUUUGGGUUUUCUUUUUAAUUACUACUACAAGCAUGGAAAUUAAAACUAGCUAACUAAUUUUUUGGUUUUUCUUAAGGUUUAUUAAACACACAAGAAGAAAGCAUAAAAAGAGAAAAUAAACUAGCAUGGAUAUUACAAUGAAAAAGUAUGAGCACCGACAUCUAGCAAUGAGUGUGUGAACAUGAAUAUAAUGUCGGUGAGAAAUGCAUACUCCCCCAAGCUUAGGCUUUUGUCCUAAGUUGAUCUAUGGCCACGGUUGGCCUGGCGGAUAUCCAUAGUUGUAGCUGGGGUCGUACUGCGAUGCAGCGGCUAUUGCCUCCUGAGAUGCAGCAUGGUGGCAAGCUGCCUCCGCCCUCCUCUCGUACUCAUCUGCCUCCUCUCUGGUAAUAAAAUGUCUUCCUUUUGCCUGAUAAACAAAGAAGGUAGGAGCAGGGAGAGUAAUACGGACAGCACGACAUCUGUCAAAGAUUAAGCGAUACUGGAGAGGUGAUUCAUUCCUCUCGACAAACUGGUGGUGAACCAUAGCAUUAAAGUCUAGGUAAGCAGGAGGUAAUUCAAUAUCAUCAUUACGUAUAGUUACACCAAGAAAAUCAGCUAAGCGGGUUGCAUAAAUUCCACCAAAGAAAUCUCCAUUAAAUCUAUUAAGAUGCAACCUACGUGCUACAAUGGCUCCCAAAUUAUAAGAUUUAUCUCCUAACACUGCACUCCUAAGAAUACUAAGCUAAGGGACACACAUGUGACAUGCCUCAUCUUUACCAUCAAUUCAUCUACCUAUGAAGAGAGCAAAAUAAUGUAUAGCAGGAAAGUGAAUGCUCCCUAUGGUAGCUUGUAUUAUAUCUCUAGAUUCCCCCACAGUUAUACUAGCAAGAAAAUUUCUAAAUUCAGAUUUGCGAGGUUCCCUGACACUACCCCAUUGUGGAAGUUUGCAAGCAGUGGUAAAAUCCUCUAAGUCCAUAGUGUAAGAAUUUUCAUAAAGAUCAAACAGAACAGUUUGAGAAUUACAUGAAGAUGAAAAUUCAAACCUCCUCACAAAGGAACUAGUGAGAUAGUGGUACUGACGGCAUUAUUCUUCCUCGAAGCUCACAAGAUCAGCAUUACACAAAUAUACGUUAAAUUCUUCCUUAAUCCCCGCUCGAUCCAUGAAGUCCUCUGAAGGCCAUUCACAGGGCCGCACUAGAGCGUCCCUUGGUGGCUCAUCAUCAGCAUCACGCAUUGCAAGCUUGGGCUCUUGUGUCCUUGAAGAGACACCUUGGUACAUUUUCCUAAACAUAUUUCUUCCUCUGAAAAAAUUCUGAAAUUUUUAAUAACUUCAAAUAAAAGUGAGCCAAGCUCAACAAAAUUGAUAGCAACAACUCCUACAAGUGCCUAGAGCCUAUAUCAUGCAUUAGAACUACUUGGGACCAUAUAAAUUUGACAUGCAAGCUCAAGAACAGGGUCACCUAGGCAGCACAAAUUUGCAAUGAAUAAAGCACUAGAACAAAAACUAAUUGGACCAAUGGAGGAGUCACAUACCAAGGAACAAUCCCCCCAAGCAGUUUUGUGAGAGGUGCUUUGAGCAAGGAGAUCGAAAGUGGCAGCAAAUGAGCUUGGACUCGGCUUUGAACUGGAUAAUCGUGUUUGUGGGAGGAAGAAUGAGUGUGUGGGUGUAUGAAUAAGUGGAGGAGGGCCACCAUGGGCCCACGAGGCAGGGGACGCACCCAGGGUGGUAGGGCGCGCCCUCCACCCUCGUGGCCAGGUGGAUGCCCCUCCUGCUGUGUUCUCAGUGCCAAAUAUUCUCAAAUAUUCCAGAAAAAAUCAUAUUUAAAUUUCAGGGCAUUUGGAGAACUUUUAUUUUCGGAGUAUUUUUAUAUUGCACGGAUAAUUCAGAUAAUAGACAGAAAAAUAUUAUUUUUAUUUUAUUUAAUAUAAAUAACAGAAAGUAAAAGGAGGGUAUAGAAGGUUGUGCCUUCUAGUUUCAUCCAUCUCAUGCUCAUCAAAAGGAAUCCACUAACAAGGUUGAUCAAGUCUUGUUAACGAACUCAUUCCGAAUAACAUGGAACCGGAGAAAUUUCGAAUAACACUAUGUUAUCUCAACGGGGAUAUGCACAUCCCCAAUAAUAAGAAUAUCAUAUUUCUUCUUGACAGUAGGAAGAGGAAAUUCAAAACCUCUGAAUAUAAUCGAUGGAAUUUUUCCAAUAGAGUUGAUACUAUGAACUUGAGGUUGUUUCCUCGGAAAGUGUACCGUAUGCUCAUUACCAUUAACAUGAAAAGUGACAUUGCCUUUAGUGCAAUCAAUAACAGCCCCUGCAGUAUUCAAAAAGGGUCUUCCAAGAAUAAUAGACAUACUAUCAUCCUCAGGAAUAUCAAGAAUAACAAAGUCCGUUAAAAUAGUAACGUUUGCAACUACAACAGGCACAUCCUCACAAAUACCGAUAGGUAUAGCAGUUGAUUUAUCAGUCAUUUGCAAAGAUAUUUCAGUAGGUGUCAACUUAUUCAAAUAAAGUCUAGGAUAUAAAGAGAGAGGCAUAACACUAACACCGGCUCCAUGAUCACAUAAAGCAGUCUUAACAUAAUUUCUUUUAAUGGAGCAUGGUAUAGUUGGUACUCCGGGAUCUCCUAGUUUCUUAGGUAUUCUACCUUUAAAAGUAUAAUUAGCAAGCAUGGUGGAAAUUUCAGCUUCCGGUAUCUUUAUUUUAUUAGUAACAAUAUCUUUCAUGCACUUAGCAUAAGGAUUCAUUUUAAGCAUAUCAGUUAAUCGCAUACGCAAAAAGAUAGGUCUAAUCAUUUCAGCAAAGCGCUCAAAAUCCUCAUCAUCCUUUUUCUUGGAUGGUUUGGGAGGAAAAGGCAUGGGUUUCUGAACCCAUGGCUCUCUUUUUUUACCAUGUUUCCUAGCAACAAAGUCUCUCUUAUCAUAAAAUUGAUUCUUUGAUUGUGGAUUAUCAAGAUCAACAAUAGGUUCAAUUUCUAUAUCAUUAUCAUUGCUAGGUUGAGCAUCAACAUGAACAUUAUCAUUAACAUUAUCACUAGUUUCAGGUUCAUUACCAGAUUGUGUUUCAGCAUCAUAAAUAGAAAUAUCAUUUGGAUUCUCAGGUGUUUCAGUAAUAGGUUCACUAGAAGCAUGCAAAGUCCUAUCAUUUUUCUUUUUCUUCCUUUUAGAAGGACUAGGUGCAUCUAUAUUAUUUCUCUGAGAAUCUUGCUCAAGUCUCUUAGGAUGGCCUUCAGGAUACAGAGGUUCCUGAGUCAUUCUACCAGUUCUAGUAACCACUCUAACAGCAUAAUCAUUAUUCUUACUAUUCAAUUCAUUGAGCAAAUCAUUUUGAGCUUUAAGUACUUGUUCUACUUGAGUGGUAACCAUACAAGCAUGUUUACUAAUAAGUUUAAGUUCACCUUUGACAUUAGCCAUAUAAUCACCCAAGUGUUCAAGCAUAUUUGAAUUGUAUUUCAAUUGUCUACCAAAAUAAGUAUUAAAAUCUUCUUGCUUCACCAUAAAAUUAUCAAACUCAUCUAAGCAUUGGCUAGCAAACUUAGUAAGAGGGAUUUCAGCUUUAUCAUAUCUAUAGAGAGAAUUUACCUUUACUACCCGUGUCGGGUUAUCAAGACCAUGUAUUUCUUCAAUAGGUAAUAUAUUAAGAUCAUAUGCUUCUUCAACAGGCGGUAAAUUAAGACCGUGUAUUUCUUCAAUAGGAGGUAAAUUCUUAACAUCUUCAGCUUUAAUACCUUUUUCUUUCAAAGAUUUAUUUUCCUCUUGCAUAUCUUCAGGACUGAGAAAUAGAACACCUCUUUUCUUCGGAGUUGGUUUAGGAAUAGGCUCAGGAAGUGUCCAAUUAUUUUCAUUUGUCAACAUAUUAUUCAAUAGAAUUUCAGCUUCAUCCAGUGUUCUUUCCCUUAAAACAGAACCAACACAACUAUCCAGGUAAUCUCUGGAAGCAUCAGUUAGUCCAUUAUAAAAUAUAUCAAGUAUUUCAUUUUUCUUAAGAGGAUGAUCAGGCAAAGCAUUAAGUAACUUGAGAAGCCUCCCCCAAGCUUGUGGGAGACUCUCUUCUUCACUUUUCACAAAAUUAUAUAUAUCCCUCAAAGCAGCUUGUUUCUUAUGAGCAGGGAAAUAUUUAGCAGAGAAGUAAUAAAUCAUAUCCUGGGGACUAUGCACACAACCAGGAUCAAGAGAAUUAAACCAUAUCUUAGCAUCACCCUUUAAUGAGAAUGGAAAUAUUUUAAUGAUAUAAAGGUAGCGAGAUUUCUCAUCAUUAGUGAACAGGGUGGCUAUAUCAUUUAAUUUAGUAAGAUGUGCCACAACAGUUUCAGAUUCAUAGCCAUGAAAAGGAUUAGAUUCAACUAAAGUAAAUAUAUCAGGAUCAACAGAGAAUUCAUAAUCCUUAUCAAUAACACAGAUAGGUGAAGUAGCAAAAGCAGGGUCAGGUUUCAUUCUAGAAUUAAGAGAUUGCUGCUUCCAUUUAGCUAAUAACCUCUUGAGCUCGUAUCUAUCCUUGCAAGCUAAAAUAGCUAAAGCAGCUUCCUUUUCAAAAACAUAACCCUCAGGAAUAACAGGUGAUUCAUAUUUAUUAGGGGGAGAGUCUGCAUCAUCACUUUCAUCAAUGUUAUCAGUUUCAAUAAUUUCAUUCUCUCUAACCCUAGCAAGUUGUUCAUCAAGAAAUUCACCAAGUAGCACAGUAGUAUCAAGCAUAGAAGUAGUUUCAUCAUAAGUAUCAUGCAUAGCAGAAGUGGCAUCAUCAAUAACAUGCGACAUAUCAGAACGAAUACCAAAAGCAGGUUUAGGUGUUGUCAUGGAAUUGUCACGGCAGAUGUCCUAAAGCAAGGACUUAGUCGUAGGGCCAUCGCACUAGGAAGCUUAAAGGGGUUAAUCGGGACAAAGGACACGAGAGAGUUUUAUACUAGUUCGGCCCCUUACGAUGAAGGUAAAAGCCUACGUCUAGUUGGGCUUGGUAUUGCUGGGGUUUCGUUCACCAAGAGGCUUAACUCGCCGGCUUGGUUAUCGACUUGUUGUUUCUUGCCCUAAACCGCCACCGGGUCGUCCCCUUAUAUACAUGGGUUGACUUCUGGUGGCUUACAGAGUCCCGGCCGGCUCAUAAUCGUGUCCGGCUCGGUGACUUCUUCUACAUGCCUUUCUUUACAAGUCUUUCCAUUCCUAUAGCGGUUUACAAUAACGGGCUUUUAAGCCGGCCCGAGGCCUUUGGGAUUUCUACAUAUACCAAUAAACUAUCAUCUUGACUGUAUAUUGGGCUUCUUAUGUAACCCGCCAUUAAGGCUGACCCGGCCCCUCCUGGGCGGGUCUCAGCUGAUAAUAAUAUCACCAACAUUAGGCCCCAGGUUAACUUUGAACUUUGUUCUUUGUCAAUCUUCAAUACUUACACAAAAUCCAUCCUCUAUCUAAAAAUUUCCUUAACCCGUCGUGACAUCAUCUUUCUGAAACACAAAAAACUUUUAUGACGUCAUCUUUUAACGGAUCUUUCAUUUUUAAUGUCUUCCGGGAAUCGAGGCGUUUGUUCAGUUGGAUAAUCAUUAUUUAGUCUCUUGAUUUUCGCGCCCGCCUGUUCGCACACUCCCUUAUAAAUAGGCACGACCUAGGUUUUUUCCGUUCUCCCCCUUCGAUCGUCUUCUUCCUCUCACUGCUUCUCUGCUGCUCGAGCUCCGCCGCCGCCGCAGAUCUUGUCUUCAUCGACUCAGGCCGCCGCAUCAACCUAAUUAGAUCCGAAGAGACCGCAAUAAACCUUCGCUGCAACUCUGCAUCUGUAAGUCCCUUUCUUCUCGACAUCAGAUCCGCAUUAGAACCUUCGAGUUCCUUGGUGUUCUUUAUUGUUCUUCAUGAACUCAUUGUAGAUUUCAUCACCAUCGCCCUUUCUUGAUCUUUGGAUAGUAUAAAACUGAUGCGGCAGCUAUUUCGCCCCUACUUCAAAUGCCAACAAAUUAUUUUCCCUGUUCAGAGGCCUUGUUUAGCACUGACGAACUCAUCUGUGCCAGUUUUAGGUCUAGAUUUAUUUUCAUUUUUGGAACCAUCUUGAUCCAAAAUAAUAAUAACAACUUGUGAAACUUGUUUAUAUCAACACUUCACUGAAUUCUGUCUUCUGAGAAAAUCUGUAGUCAUGGCGGCUUACCACUCCGACUUUUCUUUUCCUUAUAUACCAUUAGCCCUUAGUUAAACCGCCAUUACUUGCUUUAUAAUCGACCGUAGAUUGAACCGGCAUAUUGUUACUUAUUUUUCAGUGUGUUGCACAUCAUGCCAUCGAAGUCACCGACCAUCUGUAACUGGGUCCCUUCUUUCGUAACUGAAGAACGGUUAAAAGAGUUCUGCAUCAUUGGGUUUCUUCCUUCAAAGAAUGUCAUGUCUUAUCAUGCUCCUGACCCGGAGGAAGAAUGUCCCAAUCCGAAAGAUGGAGAAGGAAUUAUCUUUACUGACCACAUGAACCGGGGAUUUUCACCACUUGGUUCAAAAUUCUUCAGAGAGGUCCUUCAUUUUUUCAAACUCCAUCCUCAGGACCUUGGACCCAACUCUAUUUCCAAUAUUUGUAACUUCCAAGUGCUCUGUGAGGCAUAUCUUCAUCAAGAGCCCACCGUAGAAUUGUUUAGAGAAUACUUUUAUCUGAAUCGCCAGAAUGAAUGCACCAACGGUUCUAGCUUAGAACUUGGAGGCAUCUUGAUUCAACAUCGGCAGGGUGCUAUUUUUCCACUCAUCGUCUUACCGAGCCACCCAAAAGAUUGGAACCAAACUUGGUUUUAUUGUCAGGAUACUUCUCCAGCGAACAAGAAGCCCCUACCGGGUUACCGCCCUAGCCGUCUUGAUUCCAAGUUUACCCUUCCAUAUAAGCUUACCGUCGUUGAGCGUAGGAAGCUUCUUCCCUCCAUUAGAAGAAUCAAUGGCUUAUUGGGUAAUGGUCUAACCAGAGUAGAUCUGACCCGUUACUGGAUCUCAUGGCGGGUUAUCCCAUUAAGUCGUCGAUCUCAACUGAUGUAUGAAUAUGACGGAAGUUCGGACCAUCCUCUUCGUCACGGCUCAGUUGAACUCACCGAAGAAGACAUUGUUUCGAUGUCAACCCUUUUGGUAAACGGGAAGUACGAAGAUUGCAGUAUUGUUGGGUUAAGUCCCUUCUGUAAGAUUAAUCCGGUGCCAGAAGUAAGUACAUUCUAAUAUCUUUUUCUUUGUGUUUUGCCCAGCUAUUAGUACUUAAUACUGAUCUUUCUUCUUGUUUUUACAGGCCAAUUCUGACUUCUGGAAGGUGAAAUAUGAUCAUGAAGCUGCCAAAAAGGCAAAACUCGCUGCCAUGAACACCAAGAAAACAGCCCGGAAAUCCAAGAAGAAGAAGAAGACAACCACUGCUGAAGAUUUAAUGAAGCUUGACGACUCGUCUGACUCGGAGGUAGCCCUUGACUCCCUUGGCCAAUUUUUUAACACUCUUAUUGACACUGAUCCUUACCAGGAUGACACUGGGGCCAGUCAGGCUGAGGAAGUAGAGGUAACUAUCAUUUCCUCUGACUCAGAGCCCUUACUGAGACACAAAGUUCAUCGAGUGAUCCGUAAAGUAAGGUUUUCUAACCCUUUAGCUCAUUUGGAUCCCAACUUUCAUUUGAAAAAGCAGCAACAUGAAAGCCGCCGUGAAGUUGGAACUGAGGAUGAACCGGCUGUUACCCUUCAACAGACCCCUCAGAAACGCCCGAACGAGGUUUAAUUAUUACUGUCUUUAACCCGUUGUAAUGAAUCCUGCUCCUUACAUUUCUUUUAACUCUUUCCUUUAUCUUUUCAGGAGGUGCCUCGUUCUUCGGAUGACUCAUCACAAACACAAUUUCCGGCUUUCAAGACUGCUCCUCGGUAAUUAAAAACCCUCUUUUCUUCCGAGUUUGAUCAAUUGUUAUCUUAAUACUGAUUAUCCUGCAAUAUUUUUCUUCAGUGGCCAAGCUAAGUCCAAGAAAGCGAAGGCAACAAAACCAAUGGAAGACCCGCCAGUACUGGCAUCUGAGCUGGCUAGGCCACCUUCUCCGUUGACUGUCGCCCCGGAAGACACGCCUAUCGUUCAUGAAGCAAAUCCUCCAGAGCCAUCCCUUGUCAAAAACACUAUUAACCCUUCUACAGCUGGUCCAUCAAGCUCAACCGGCCCACCGUCUCCCCGUGUUCAAGAUGUUCAAAUUACUAGGAGCCGCUAUGUUGAGCCGGGGAACCCGACGGUUUUGGCACGGUGCACCGCUAAGCAAGAAGCUUUGGAGAGGCGGAAGGUUCGUCUUGAUGUUGCCAAUUAUGACCAUCUUAACGCCAGUGAUAUCUUAUCCGGUUAUCUCAGUCAUGUACACUCCAGUCGUGAUUCUGAGAUUGAGAUGGUCAAGCAGCUUCAAUUGAAGUAUGAGGUAUGUAAUUUCUAGUUUAUCAAUAUUCCUUCAGCCCCCAAGUCUGUAGAUUAUGAGAGAAACAGAAUAACCUAUAGACUUAUAAUAUAUACUGAUACUUUUACCUCUGAGUCUUUGCUUGAUAUUGGUAGAACAAGACUUCACCCGUAGUCCCCAAAGACUGGUUUAUUUAAUCAUUACUGAAUCGGUACUUCAGAAUUGAGCACCAUCUGUAAAAUACUUAAUAUCCCGGUUUAAACUUGAAAAACUUGCUGAACUGCGUGCAUUAGCCCCCAAGUGCCAAGUGCUAUUACUUUUGUAAAGGACAUGGGACUUCAAAUAUGUUGGUAGAGUCAUAAAAAUUUGAUUUCACAUACAUUAGCCCCCAAGUGUCAAGUGGUUUAUUCAUAAAGUAUUUGAGACUUGAAUAUUUGAAAUUGGAUACUGGAAUUUGAAGCCAAGUCUUGAUUUAUGUGAAUGUUUUCACAGAAUGCAUUGUCUGAACUGAACUCCCAACUAACUGAUACAAAGACCCGGCUGGCGAACCAGAAAUUAAAUCUUCCACCUCCCAACUGCAAAUAAGUCUUUCUAAAACGGAGAAACUGAAGACUGACUUUGCUGUCAAAGAGAAAACUUGGGCAGAUGAGAAGAUACUGCUGACCCGGAGAGCUGAGACAGCCGAAACAGCUCUGACGGAAAUUUCAACCGAACUGAACAGUUUAAAAGGCCGGGUGUCUCAGAUGGUCGCUGCUAUCUUUGGUAAGCUUCCUGAUUUGAUCUUUCAUAUGUGUUUCCUGUCAAGCCGAAAUAUGACCCGUUAACUGACUUCGUGAAAAAUGCGUGUAGGUCCGCGAAGUAAGAAUCUAGACCAAGACCUGUUGAUUAAGAUGAAAGCCGUAUACACUUUAACUGCACAAUUGUAUAUCGGCGCACAACGAGCUCUGGCAGCCAUCUCUCCUGCUAAUCAAGGGUCUAACCGGAUCAGUGACGUCCUGAAGAGGUUGUCCAUUCUCCCUGCCAGAUUCCAAGAGGUGAAACGCUCCUGCGCACGAGCCGGAGCUUUGACUGCCCUAAGCCACUCCAAGGCUUGGGUACCAGAUCUAGACCCGUCAGACGUGGCAAGGGGUUAUCCUACCAUGAAGGAGGACGAGUCUCCUUUUGAUCAGGAUGACUUUAUAGCCUGCGUUCGUGAAGUCCGGCCUUAGGCGACUAGCCUUGGAGAUGACAGCAAUGUGGACAAGUAUCAACCGGAUUUUGACAGUGAAAAUAAGAAGAUGGCUCCUCCUUCCUAUAAAGUAACCGACUUGAUCCCGCCGGUGAGAGAAGACACAUUUGCCCCGGAGGUUGAUCCGGUCGGCCUGAUUGAUGAUGAAGCUGAAUUUGUCGCCAUGAACGACUAUGACUGGUCAAAGCCCAACUUCCAGCAGAUUCAAGAUGUUGAGCCAGUGAGCGAAGGACAAUGAUCAUCUUCAUGGGCUUUAGAAAGCCUUGUAAUAGCUUUAGCUAUUAAAAACACCACAUGUCUGCUUAUGCCAUCGCGCAUGAAACACUUCUAUGUGAAUCUAUGCUUCUGGGUGCCUCGUUUAAUGCUUGUCUUUGCAAUGUUUAAACUCUGUUCCUGUGAACACAAGGAAAAAGCUUGGCAAGGCGGUUUAAAACCAACUGGGCUUAAACACCUCAAAAAACAGAGACAAAUAUAAAUAAAGGAUAAGGCUUAAUACCAACUCUGAAUUUAACGCAGCCGAUAAGCGCGUGUAAGUAAAAACCAUACAUUAUCCUUGGUGAUCCUUAGAUCGCUGGUUUAAAUAACCCGUGUGAUGAAUUUGAGAAUUUCAAUAUAAAAGUUAAGACUUCUUGAACAGUCAAUAAUUAUCAUAUCUCAGUAGCUCGUACCUUCGGAUCCUUAGACCACCGGCCUGGAUAACCCGGGCGGCUGUGUUGUCCAAUAAUUGAGCCGGCGAAGAGAAACAGGCCAUCUCAUUUGUAAUAUUGAAACAACAAAAACUCAAAGGCAAGCAACAGAUAACAAACAUAAUUUUAACUCUGUAUUUCAAAGAUUGGGGGUUUCUGAUUCGAAUACGAUCAAUAAACCGGACCAAAGGGGUUAAGCUAAGGUUCGAAUACGACCAUAUAGCCCCUAGUGGCUUUGGCCUUGCGCCGAUCAAGAGGGUACCGGCAGCUAUGUUCUCUUUGGUUCGAAUACGACCUAUGUUUGAACAGGAAGCCCCCAAAUGACCUUGAGAGGUUUUUAACGACCCUGAUUCGAAUACGAUCGAAGUUGGCUCAAAAGGGGUUAAGCUAUGAUUCGAAUACGAUCAAGAAGCCCCCAAGUGAGUUUGGCCUUGGUCCGAUCAAAAGGGUUAUGACAGCUAUGUUCUCUUUGGUUUGAAUACAACCUAUGUUUGAACAGGAAGCCCCCAAGUGACCUUGAUAUUUACAGCUAGAUUCAAAUACGAUCAUAAGCCGGACUAGAAAAGGUUAAACUUGAUUCAAAUAUGAUUAGCUCCUUAAUAGUCAUUUAUGAAAAAGUAAUAAAGAUGCAUAAUCUUUGAAAAGAAAAGAGACCGAUGGUCUUACUUUAUUGCUUCUCAUCAUAUAUACAGGAUGAACGUAUGUACAGGAUGAGAGCCGGUGGCUCAGGUAUAGUACGGCCGAAGUUGAGCAAUGUUCCACGGCCGGCGGGUCUCCUCUUCCGACUUACGUGAGUCUGCUUGCUCUUGAACGUCAAUGAGGUAGUAAGACCCGUUGUUUAAAUUUUUACUGACCACAAAGGGUCCUUCCCAAGGUGGGGAUAACUUGUGUGCAUCUAAAAGAUCUUGGAUGAGCCGGAGCACCAAGUCGCCUUCUUGAAAAGUCCUGGACUUAACCCGACGGCUGUGAUAAUGACGCAGGUCCUGUUGAUAGAUUGCUGACCGUGCUGCUGCUAAGUCUCUUUCUUCAUCCAAUAAGUCAAGCGCAUCCUGUCUGGCUUUUUCAUUGUUAGCUUCAACAUAAGCCGCCACGCGGGGCGAGUCAUGACGAAUGUCACUGGGCAAUACUGCUUCUGCUCCAUAAAUCAUGAAAAAGGGUGUGUAACCUGUAGACCUGUUGGGUGUAGUAUUGAUGCUCCAUAACACUGAAGGCAACUCCUCUACCCAACAACCCGGCGUUCGCUAUAAAGGAACCAUAAGCCGGGGGUUUAGCCCUUUCAGAAUUUCCUGAUUGGCUCUCUCAGCUUGACCACUGGAUUGAGGAUGAGCUACAUAAGAAACAUCAAGCCGGAUGUGCUCUCGCUGACAAAACUCUUCCAUAGCCCCUUGGGAUAGAUUGGUGCCAUUGUCUGUGAUAAUACUGUGUGGAAAACCAAAACGGAAGGUUAUUUUCUUCACAAACUGAACCGCCGUGGCUGCAUCACACUUACUCACAGGCUCUGCCUCAACCCAUUUAGUGAACUUAUCAAUAGCCACCAAGAGAUGUGUCUUCUUGUCCAUAGACCUUUUGAAAGGUCCCACCAUGUCAAGCCCCCAGACUGCAAAUGGCCAAGUGAUUGGAAUCAUCCGGAGCUCUUGAGCCGGUACAUGCGCUCGCCGUGCAAAUUUCUGACAUCCAUCACAUCUACUGACCAGAUCUUUUGCAUCAGCGUGAGCCGUCAACCAGUAAAACCCGUGACGAAACGCCUUGGCCACUAAAGAUUUUGACCCGGCGUGAUGACCACAAUCGCCUUCAUGGAUCUCACGAAGGAUUUCUUGAUCUUCUUCGGGAGAAACACACCGUUGAAAUGCUCCUGAAACACUGCGAUGAAAUAACUCUCCAUCCGAAAUCGUCAUGGACUUAGACUGCCGGGUUAUCUGUCGAGCCAGAGUCUCAUCUGCUGGCAAUUCUCCCCGGGUCAUGUAAGCCAAGAACGGCACCGUCCAAUCUGGGAUGACAUGAAGAGCCGCCACCAACUGCGCCUCUGGGUCAGGAACAGCUAAAUCUUCUUCUGUGGGCAACUUGACAGAGGGGUUAUGCAAAACAUCUAAAAAGGUGUUGGGUGGUACUGGCUUACAUUGAGACCCCAGCCGGCUCAAAGCAUCAGCUGCUUCGUUCUUUCGACGGUCAAUCUGUUCCACCUGAUAUCCUUUAAAAUACCCUGCAACAGCAUCGACCUCUUGGCGAUAAGCCGCCAUGAGAGGGUCUUUGGAAUCCCACUUGCCAGACACCUGCUGAGCCACUAACUCUGAAUCACCAAGACAUCUGACCCGGCUCAAGCUCAUCUCCUUUGCCACUCGAAGACCAUGGAGCAAUGCUUCAUACUCUGCUGCGUUGUUAGUGCACGGAAACAUCAAUCGUAACACAUAACAAAAUUUAUCACCUCAUGGGGAAGUUAAAACAACUCCAGCCCCCGAGCCCUCCAAUUGCCUGGACCCAUCAAAAUGAAUAGUCUAAUACAUGUUGCCCGGAUUUUCUUCUGGCAUCUGCAUCUCUGUCCAGUCAUUGAUGAAGUCAACCAGGGCUUAAGACUUAAUCGCAGUGCGUGGAACAUACUUCAGCCCAUGAGACCCAAGCUCAAUUGCCCACUUGGAAACUCGCCCUGUAGAUUCUCUGUUUUGAAUAAUGUCUCCCAAAGGAGCAGAGCUAACCACAGUGAUUGGAUGUCCCUGAAAGUAAUGCUUAAGCUUCCGGCUUUCCAUGAACACCCCAUAAACAAGCUUCUGCCAAUGUGGAUAUCGUUGCUUAGACUCAAUUAGCACUUCACUGACAAAAUAAACCGGCCGCUGAACCGGAUUCUCCUUGCCCGCCUCCUUGCGCUCUACCACAAUAGCCACACUAACAGCCCGUGAGUUGGCAGCUACGUAUAAUAAUAGUGGCUCUUUCUCAAUUGGAGCAGCUAGGACCGGCGGCUCAACCAAUUGCGCCUUCAGAUCCUCAAAAGCGGCGUUCGCAGCAUCGCUCCAAACAAACACAUUUGUUUUCUUCAUCAACUGAUACAGAGGCAUAGCCUUUUCUCCUAACCGGCUUAUGAACCGGCUCAAAGCAGCCACACGACCCGCCAGUCAUUGAACAUCAUUGAUGCAAGUUGGUUUAGCCAGGGAUGUAAUCGCCUUGAUCUUCUCCGGGUUAGCUUCAAUACCUCGGUUGGACACCAGAAAACCCAAAAGUUUGCCGGCUGGCACUCCAAAAACACACUUGGCCGGGUUAAGCAUCAUCUUGUAAACCCGAAGAUUAUCAAAGGUCUCUUUCAAGUCUGUGACCAAGGUUUCCUCUUCCCUAGACUUUACUACUAUAUCAUCCACAUAGGCAUGAAUAUUGCGCCCAAUUUGAUCAUGAAGACAAUUCUGCACACACCGUUGUUAAGUCGCCUGAGCACUCUUGAGCCCAAAACGCAUAGACACAUAGCAGAAAGCCCCAAAAGGAGUUAUAAAUGUCGUCUUCUCUUGAUCCUUGACUGCCAUCUUAAUCUGAUGAUACCCGGAGUAAGCAUCUAAGAAACUCAACCGUGCGCAACCCGCCGUAGCAUCAAUGAUCUGAUCAAUACGGGGAAGAGCAAAAGGAUCAGCCGGACAGGCCUUGUUUAAAUCUGUGUAAUCCACACACAUACGACAGGUGCCAUUCUUUUUUAGCACGAGCACCGGGUUAGCUAACCAUUAUGGGUGAAAGACCUCCACAAUGAACCCGGCCGCCAAGAGCCGGUCCACCUCUUCUCCAAUGGCCUUGUGCCUUUCUUCAUUGAACCGCCGAAGAAACUGUCUGACAGGUUUGAACUUUGGAUUGAUAUUAAGAGUGUGCUCAGCGAGUUCCCUCGGGACACCCGGCAUGUCUGAAGGUUUCCAUGCAAAGAUGUCCCGGUUCUCACGGAUGAACUCGAUGAGAGCACUUUCCUAUUUCAGAUCCAAGUUUGCGCUGAUGAUGAACUGUUUGGAUGAAUCGCCUGGCACAAAGUCAACCAUCUUAGUGUCAUCAGCUGAUUUGAACUUCAACUCCGGCUCGUGCUCUGUGGUUGGUUUCUUUAAUGACAUCAUGUCUGCCGUGUCAACAUGAUCUUUAUAGAAUUUCAACUCCUCUGUAGCACAAACAGAUUCAGCAUACGCAGCAUCCCCUUCUUCACAUUCCAAGGCUAUCUUUCGGCUCCCAUGGACUGUAAUGGUGCCCUUGUGACCCGGCAUCUUGAGCUGGAAAUAUACGUAACACGGUCGAUCCAUGAACUCGGCAUAAGCCAGCCGCCCAAACAGAGCAUGAUAUGGGCUCUUAAUUUUAACCACCUCAAAGGUUAAUUUUUCUGCUCUAGAGUCAUACUCAUCUCCAUAAGCUACUUCCAGCUCGAUCUUACCAACUGGAUAUGCCGACUUACCAGGCACCACACCAUGAAAAACAGUGUUGGAUUGUUUAAGAUUUUUAUCCGUCAAUCCCAUACGGCGAAACGUCUCAUAGUAAAGGAUGUUGAUGCUGCUACCUCCAUCCAUGAGUACCUUAGUAAAUUUGUAUCCACCAACCUAAGGUGCCACUACUAAUGACAAGUGACCCGGAUUAUCAACCCGGGGCGGGUGGUCCUCUCUACUCCAUACAAUGGGCUGCUCUGACCAACGAAAGUAACGUGGAAUUGCCGGCUCAACAGCAUUAACGGCCCUCUUGUGGAGCUUCUGGUCUCUUUUACACAAACUGGUAGUAAAGACAUGAUACUAUCCGCUACUCAAGUGCUUCGGGUUGCUCUGAUAGCCGGAUUGCUGCUGCUGUUGAUUCCCUUGGCCAUGUUGCUGAUUAUAUCCCCCCUGGUGACCAGGAUGACCAUGAAAACCUCCUCUGCUUGAACCGGCGCCCGGGCCCUGAAAGCCGCCUGAGCCGCCACCCGGACCGUGACCCCCAUCAAACGCGUUUGAAUUUUUAAAUGCCUUCAUGAUCGUACAAUCAUUCCAUAAGUGGGUAGCUGGCUUCUCCCUGGUGCCGUGUCUGGGACAAGGUUCAUUCAACAGCUACUCAAGGGUGGGGCCUGACCCGCCCGAUCGAGGGGGCUGUCUGCCCUUGCGCCGCUGAUUACCACCAUGUGCAUUAGUAUUAGCAACAAACUCAUCAGCCUUACGCUUAUUACCUCCUUGAUUUGCCGGGUUAUGCUGGUGACCCUUGCCACUGUCGUUCUUCUUUCCCUUUGUUGCCUUUUCUUCAUCAGACGCCGGGUCUUUAGUGAUAUUAGAAUCGGCAUACUUGACAAGAGCCGCCAUCAACGUUCACAUGUCAUUACAGUCUCGUUUAAGCCGCCCCAACUUCUGUUUCAGAGGCUCAAACGGUAAUUCUUCUCCAACAUCAAAACUGCUGAGUCGGCGUCCAUUUUGUCAGACGAAUGUAUUAUCUCCUUGACCCGGCGCACCCAAUGAGUCGUAGAUUCUCCAUCUUCUUGCUUGCAAUUGGUCAGGUCCACAAUUGACAUUGGCUAUUUACACGUGUCCUUAAAGUUCUAGAUGAACCGUGCCUUUAACUCUACCCAUGAGCCGAUGGAAUUGGGUGGCAAUCCUUUCAGCCAGGUCAGAGCCAUUCCAUCCAACAUCAUGGUAAAGUACUUGGCCAUUGCAGCAUCACUAACUUCCAACAUCUCCAUAGCCAUCUCAUAACUCUCAAUCCAAGCCCCCGGCUGUAAGUCAGCCAUGUAGUUAGGUACCUUACGAGGUCCCUUGAAAUCCUUGGGCAAUCGUUCGUUGCGUAUGGCUGGGACCAGGCAAGGUACACCUCCGGUUCUUGUAACCACUCCUGCCUCAACCGACGUUGCUGGAUAAGCCGGAAAGGUUUGGUGAGCUGCCUGCUCUGCUGCUAUCUGAGCCGCCCGCUCCGCCUCUUGACGAAUCCUCUCCUGAUCCGCCAAGUUAAGGGCUCCAGCUCGCACCGGCUCAUGCCUAUAUGGCCGAUUGUGGCGUUGAGCAUUACUCGACAUCUCUGCAGACUCCAUAUGCCUACUGUAACUCAGGCUCUGGCUUGGGCGAGGAGUUGAAUGAAUCCUGCCUCGACUGUAGGAGUAUGCGUCCUGUUGGGCCAAAGCUGUCUGAAGCAGUUCUCUUACCCUCCGGGUCUCAAUUGCUGCUGGCGAGUCGCCUUCCAUUGGGAGAGCCGCCAAACGAGCCGAUGCUGCAAUGAGGUUCUCCAUGGGGUUGGAGAAGUGACCCGGGGGUGUUGAUAUAUAACGAGGAGGAGUUGUAUUCAUGCGCGGUGGCUCCAUGGUGCGUGGCUGAACUAGUGCUCCGGGCGUGUCGACCCGGUUUACCUCCGGCGGGUUGCUCCCUCCAGCUCCGGGUGUAUGGAACAGAUUCCUGGGAUCCAGUGUUAGAGGCAGAAACAACUGAGUUUUCUGACGCCUCCUCCUCGUGACUUCGUUUGAUGCAUUAAGAUCCACAAAGAGCCGGAAGGUUUCUGCUUGAAGCUGCUGAGCACGAGCAUCCAAAGCUGCUCGUUCUGCUGCCAUCCGGGUUUCCUCCGCAGCCAAAUUUUCCUUAGCCUGCACCAUCUCCUCCCGCACGCGUGCUACUUCCGCUUCAUGAUGGGCUUUAUCCACCGGCUCUACCACAACGGUUAAAAGAGUCGUCAGUUUAUCCAUGAGGUCCAUGAGAACCUGAGCCGAGGGGCGCGCGGGGUCUCCUGACCCGGCAGCUGCCGACCCGGUGGCGACCGCUUUCGCUGCGGUGGAGUUCUGUCCGGGCUACAUCCCUGCCAUGAAGACUCCGGCCCAAUUUGGCGGCUCAAGCGGGUCCGGAAUACUGCUGCCAUCGGAAUAGCCCCCGAGCAUGUCAUCUUGCAGUUGGUACAAUGAGUCCGUCUCACCCGUUGAAGAUGCAGUAUCAGAGCAGAUGGCCGUCUCCCCACCUUCCAUCGAUCCUUCGGAGUAUUCACUGCCAUGGACGCAGCCUACGAAGGCAUGCUUCAUGACAGAUUGAACACGGGCGGACCCGACACGCUGAGCCGUUUCGAUGAGGUCAGUGUAGACAUCCGGCUCAGGGCCUAACUCGCCGAUCCGGCCGAUGAAGACGUGGAUUCCGCCGAAGGGGACCUGGUACCCGUACUCGAUUGAGCCGGCCUCGGGGCCCCAGCCUUGUCGCCGAUGUAGAUCUUGCCGCGAUGACUCUUGGUCAUCCGGCCCACAGCGUAUCCCUUGAGCCCUUCGAAGUUUCCCUUCAAGAACUCAAAUCCACUGUGCGCUGGCCCCACGGUGGGCGCCAACUGUCGUGGAAUUUUCACAGAAGAUGUCCUAGAGCAAGGACUUAGUCGUAGGGCCAUCGCACUAGGAAGCUUAAAGGGGUUAAUCGGGACAAAGGACACGAGAGAGUUUUAUACUAGUUCGGCCCCUUACGAUGAAGGUAAAAGCCUACGUAUAGUUGGGUUUGGUAUUGCUGGGGUUUCGAUUACCAAGAGGCUUAACUCCCCGGCUUGGUUAUCGAAUUGUUGUUUCUUGCCCUAAACCGCCACCGGGUCGUCCCCUUAUAUACACGGGUUGACGUCUGGUGGCUUACAGAGUCCCGGCCGGCUCAUAAUCGUGUCCGGCUCGGUGACUUCCUCAACAUGCCUUUCUUUACAAGUCUUUCCGUUCCUAUAGCGGUUUACAAUAACGGGCUUUUAAGCCGGCCCAAGGCCUUUGGGCUUUCUACAUAUACUAAUAAACUAUCAUCUUGACUGUAUAUUGGGCUUCUUAUGUAACCCGCCAUUAAGGCUGACCCGGCCCCUCCUGGGCGGGUCUCAGCUGAUAAUAAUAUCCCCAACAGGUGUCGCAAGCUUACUCAAAACAGAAGGUGAAUUAAGUGCAGAGCUAGAUGGCAAUUCCUUACCUCCCCUCGUAGUUGAGGGAUAAAUCUUGGUUUUUGGAUCUCUCAAGUUCUUCAUAAUGAUAAGCAGAUAUAAAUCCCAAGUGACUCAAAGAAUAGAGCUAUGCUCCCCGACAACGGCGCCAGAAAAUAGUCUUGAUAACCCACAAGUAUAGGGGAUUGCAACAGUUUUCGAUGGUAGUAUUCAACCCAAAUUUAUUGAUUCGACACAAGGGGAGCCAAAGAAUAUUCUCAAGUAUUAGCAGCUGAGUUGUCAAUUCAACCACACAUGGAAACUUAAUAUCUGCAGCAAAGUGUUUAGUAGCAAAGUAAUAUGAUAGUAGUGGUAAUGAUAGCAAAAAAUAAUGGUAGCAAAAGUAGUGUUUUUGGUAUUUUGUAGUGAUGAUAGCAAUAGCAACGCAAAAGUAAAUAAGCGAAGAACAAUAUAUGAAAAGCGCGUAGGCAAUGGAUCGGUGAUAGAGAAUUAUGCCGAAUGCGGUUUAUCAUGUAACAUUCAUAACCUAGGGUGACACAAAACUAGCUCCAAUUCAUCAAUGUAAUGUAGGCAUGUAUUCCGAAUAUAGUCAUACGUGCUUAUGGAAAAGAACUUGCAUGACAUCUUUUGUCCUACCCUUUCGUGGCAGCGGGGUCCUAAUCUUAUCUUAUAUAUAUAUUUACUAAUUGGAGGCACCAUUGGAUUUACCACGUUAAUCCUAGAAAACCAUGUAAAAAUAUCCUUAGGAUCUCAAUUCUACGGUUAGGAUCAAAUAAUAGAUCAAAUAGUCCUUCCUGGAAAAAAAAACAGAUCAAGGAGUCAUACCUUUCCACGUUGGAGAUAUAUCUUUCUAAGUUUGGUCUUCUUCACGUAUUGCUACAUCCUUAGGAUCUCAAUUUUAUGGUUAGGAUCAAAUAUGAGAUCAAUAACUUACUAUCUUUACACGUUAACAGAUCAAAGAGUUAUAUCUUUCCAUGUUUGGACUCCUACAUGCAUCGCUAUAUCCUUAGGAUCUCAAUUCUAUGGUUAGGAUCAAAUAACAGAUCAAAAAGUUAUAAGAUCGAUCGAUCUCUGAUUCUGCAUUGUCGAUCCAUAGUUCAUCCUAGAAGUUUUACAACUACGAUCGUCCGAUAAAUUGUAGGAAAAAUCGAGAUAGCUAUAAUCUUCUCGGCUCAGAUUUUUCCAUCGAAAACAGUCCUUCCUUCUCCCGAGGUUCCAUCCUCAAGCACUUAUACUCCCGCAACAAGAAUAUUUUUCUUUCUCACGCAUCUCCUCCAUCGUGCCAGCGGUUUGAUCUAGUAGCCCUCAGAUUUUCCUUAUGGAGAAGCAAACUUUCCUCCUCACGAGGUCCCUGCUCAAGCCCAUCUCCUCUGGCAGCAGGCACGUUUACCCCUUUUCUUCCGCAUCUCCUCCAUUGAGCCUGCUGUUUAAACAAGUAGCCACCGUUCUCUUAUCUUCCCUCACUGCCCGCCAGCUGCGGUCUGUGCCACCUUGACUUCAUGAUUAAACCUGAAUGACAUCUUUGCCUGUCCAUGUUUGUUUUCCUAUAAAGAUAGAAAUCUAACGUGCUUUCUCACGCGACUCCCUGUGUGAUCACUCUCUCCUAUGUUCUAGGGUUUGUAAUUUUCAUUAUGUACCGCCAACAUCAUCGUGGCAAAUGGAACUUGGUAGGCAACCACAGUGCUGGUGGGUGGCUGCGUAAUGUAUGCUGGGUACAGAACUGUGUACUUCCAAUUGCAUAUUAGCGGCCAGCGUUUAGUAGGUAAGCAUAUUAGUGGCGAGCGUUUUGAUUUGGAGUACGGAACGGUGGAUGCAUUAGCAUAAUCGCUGAGGUACUUAUUACUACAGCACCCAUUCAUAUGCACGUACAGUUUAUUUUUUUGGAGGAGCACGUAGAGACUUUUGCUUCAUUAAUUCGUAGCUUUUGGUUGUCGCCUCCAUCUAUAAUCAGUCCGCUGUUGCGCGCAGAAGUCUUAUACUUCCCCUUCCACCCGAAAUCUCAUAUUAAUAUCCCCCUUUUGUUUCGCUUUUACUGUCAAUAAAAAGGUGGAAGCUGACCUAAAUUCCUCAUGAUUAUUUUGAUCACAAUUGAUCAGUACGAUUCCAGCAGGAAUUGCAUGGAUAUCUUAGUUUGGAUGCAACAAAAAAAAUACAGCUCUUCGAAUGUAUAUCUGAUGCUAUGGCUUUGCUACAUCGAGCUAUAGUUCGAAUUUAGUGAUCUUUGGAUUUUGAUUAUGUGUUCAUAAUUUUGUACGACUACCUGAAUUAGAAGUAUUUUUCUCAUUAUUUGGCUAUUGCAUCUAUUUUCUCUACCGAUUCUACACCACCAGUUCCGACGAUGAUCUUCACAUAUCCUAUAAUAUAACUUCCCACACAGGUUAAUCUUACAAAGAAAAGAAGUCGUAGAAAUUUUGGAGUGAAGGUUACAUGUAAGAUGAAUAUGCGUGUGACUACAUCUAUCUAUCUUCAUUUAUCACAUACAUAUUACGCAGUGUCCUGGGUCACUAAAUUUAAUUAUCUUCUCAACGUGGUCGGCAUUUUCAAUUUAUUAAUCGGACAUAGUAUCGAUUGUUCGAUGUGCUUCAUAAAAAAUCAAAUUGCGAGUGUAAUAUAACACAUACUUCAUCAGUUUGGAGCUUAACAUUACACGUCAUUAUCGCUGCCUCUUCUGCCUUCCAUUUCUUCUUACUUUCCUGUUGUAUUGCUUAAUAGAUGGCCAUGGAGAUCUUUCCUCAGUUUGACAAUGAAGCCAGAAGUCCGAUUUGUAUAUGAUAAUUCAUGAUGUACACAUUGCAAUAUACAUACAAAAUUUAUUGGUUUAUUUUUUCAAAUGACAAAGUAAACCAGUUAACGGAAUUUUAUAUUUGUAUACUACAUAUUAGUUCUUCAUCUGCCAUUAAGAUUUUGAUUAGAAUGUUUCAAACAUGGCACUUGAUGGGAAUAUCAUUAGGAUGAAGAUAGAUUAAUGUUAUAAUCCACUUACAAAUUUGUCCAGUUCUGUAACCGACAAGAUAGAUAUGUUUGAUUUACUUAUAGGUAAUUCUUUAUACACACUUUGAUUCCACAUCAACGAUGUCUUUACAAAUUAGCACAUAGGCAUCUAUGUAAUGCCGUGGAUCCAUUGUAAUUGAUGCAAUUUUUUGUUGAAAUCUUCUAUCUUAUUUGUUCUAUAUCAGGAAAUAUAACCAAUUUCAGCCAUUGUUUUGCAAACCUGAAAUAUGUGAACUUCGAAGUUUCUCUUUUAUAAUGUGCUUUGAUGCAAUGAUCUUACAUUACGAUUUCAAUCGUGGUUACGUGAUGAUGGUAUAGUUUUUAUUUUCGAUGCAUGUGUUCGAUCCUAGAGGAGUGACCUUGGGCCAUCUUUUGCUAUGGAAACAAAAGAUAUCUUCACACUUGACGGCAAGGCAAUGGCAUUUCCUCCCAUGAAGAAGGUCUAGAAAGCUACAACUUUCUGAACACCGGAUUGUUCUUGAAGAGAUGAAAUAAUCACUUGGCUUGGUUUCAUGGAACCAACAUGACUAAAUUUGAUACUUCUACUUCUACUUAAUGUGGGAUAGUUAUAAUUUCUUUUCGGUAUGUGCCAUUGUACGUAGUCAUUUCACUUGAAGCAUUUUAGUGUUGGUUAAAGUUGGAUGGUUGCAAUGAUGUAGAAUGAAGAUUAAUUGCAGCUACAUAUUAUGAAAUAAAACUUAAUUCAUUUGUUUCAUUGUUCAACAUAUUUCUUUAUUAUUGUACUAUUUAUAGAAGAAUAGAUAUGAUGUAUUGAAUACCAUUGUACCUUUUUAAUCAUGUGAUUCUCUAAAUUAUGACUGAUAUAAAUGUUAUAAAUCAAAAAAGGAAAAUAAAAUGUAAAUUAGUUCUAGCCCGUGCAGGUGCACGGGUUGUUGACUAGUGGAUACUAAGGGAUAUUAAGGCCUCCUUUUAAUUGAGUACCGGACCAAAGCAUUAACACAUAGUGAAUACAUGAACUCCUCAAACUACGGUCAUCACCGGGAGUGGUCCCGAUUAUUGUCACUUCGGAGUUGCCGGAUCAUAACACAUAGUAGGUGACUAUAGACUUGCAAGAUAGGAUCAAGAACUCACAUAUAUUCAUGAAAACAUAAUAGGUUCAGAUCUGAAAUCAUGGCACUCGGGCCCUAGUGUCAAGCAUUAAGCAUAGCAAAGUCAUAGCAACAUCAAUCUCAGAACAUAGUGGAUACUAGGGAUCAAACCCUAACAAAACUAACUCGAUUACAUGAUAAAUCUCAUCUAACCCAUCACCGUCCAGCAAGCCUACGAUGGAAUUACUCACGCACGGCGGUGAGCACCAUGAAAUUGGUGAUGGAGGAUGGUUGAUGAUGACGAUGGCGACGGAUUCCCCUCUCCGGAGCCCCGAACGGACUCCAGAUCAGCCCUCCCGAGAGGUUUUAGGGCUUGGCGGCGGCUCUGUAUCGUAAAACGCGAUGAAUCCUUCUCUCUUAUUUGUUCCCCCCGAAAGCAAAUAUAUAGAGUUGGAGUUGAGGUCGGAGGAGCUCCAGGGGGCCCACGAGGUAGGGGGCGCGUCCUGGGGGGGCAGACGCGCCCCCCACCCUCGUGGCUAGGGUGUGGGCCCCUGUUCUUCAUCUUUUGCAAGGAUUUUUUAUUAUUUCCAAAAAGAUGUUUCGUGAAGUUUCAGGUCAUUUCGAGAACUUCUGUUUCUGCACAUAAAUAACACCAUAGUAAUUCUGCUGAAAAUAACGUCAGUCCGGGUUAGUUUCAUUCAAAUCAUGCAAGUUAGAGUGCAAAACAAGGGCAAAAGUGUUUGGAAAAGUAGAUACGACGGAGACGUAUCAGUUUUCUUCAAGUUCAAGGAGUUGACUACGAUGAGACCUUCUCACUCGUAGCGAUGCUUAAGUCCGUCCGAAUCAUGUUAGCAAUUGCCGCAAUUUAUGAUUAUGAAAUUUGGCAAAUGGAUGUAAAGACUGCAUUCCUGAAUGGAUUUAUGGAAGAAGAGUUGUAUAUGAUGCAAUCUGAAGGUUUUAUCAAUCCAAAGGGUGCUAACAAAGUAUGCAAGCUCCAGCGAUCCAUCUAUUGACUGGUACAAGCAUCUCGGAGUUGGAAUAAACGUUUUGAUAGUGUGAUCAAAGCAUAUGGUUUUAUACAGACUUUUGGAGAAGCCUGUAUUUAUAAGAAAGUGAGUGGGAGCUCUGUAGCAUUUCUAAUAUUAUAUGUGGAUGACAUAUUGCUGAUUGGAAAUUAUAUAGAAUUUCUGGAUAGCAUAAAAGGAUACUUGAAUAAGAGUUUUUCAAUGGAAGACCUCGGUGAAGUUUCUUAUAUAUUGGGCAUCAAAAUCUAUAGAGAUAGAUCAAGAAACAUAAUUGGACUUUCACAAAGCACAUACCUUGAUAAAGUUUUGAAGAAGUUCAAAAUGGAUCAAGCAAAGAAAGGGUUCUUGCCUGUGUUACAAGGUGUGAAGUUGAGUCAGACUCAAUGCCCGACCACUGCAGAAGAUAGAGAGAAAAUGAAAGAUGUUCCCUAUACUUCAGCCAUAGGCUCUAUCAUGUAUGCAAUGUUGUGUACCAGACCUGAUGUGUGCCUUGCUAUUAGUUUAGCGGGGUGGUACCAAAGUAAUCCAGGAGUGGAUCACUACACAGCGGUCAAGAACAUCCUGAUAUACCUGAAAAGGACUAAGGAUAUGUUUCUCGUUCAUGGAGGUGACAAAGAGCUCAUCAUAAAUGGUUACGUCGAUGCAAGCGUUGACACUGAUCCAGAUGACUCUAAGUCACAAACCGGACACGUAUUUUUAUUGAACGGUGGAGCUGUCAGUUGAUGCAGUUCUAAGCAAAGCGUCAUGGCGGGAUCUAUUUGUGAAGUGGAGUACAUAGCUGCUUCAGUAGCAGCAAAUGAAGGAGUCUGGAUGAAGGAGUUCAUAUCUGACCUAGGUGUCAUACCUAGUGCGUCGGGUCUAAUGAAAAUCUUUUGUGACAAUACUGGUGCAAUUGCCUUGGCAAAGGAAUCCAGAUUUCACAAAAGAACCAAGCACAUCAAGAGACACUUCAAUUCCAUCCGCGGUCAAGUCAAGGAAGGAGACAUAGAGAUUUGCAAGAUACAUACGGAUCUGAAUGUUGCAGACCCGUUGACUAAGCCUCUCCCACGAGCAAAAGAUGAUCAGCACCAAGACUCCAUGGGUGUUGGAAUCAUUACUGUGUAAUCUAGAUUAUUAACUCUAGUGCAAGUGGGAGAGUGAAGGAAAUAUUCCCUAGAGGCAAUAAUAAAGUUGUUAUUUAUAUUUCCUUAUAUCAUGAUAAAUGUUUAUUAUUCAUGCUAGAAUUGUAUUAACCGGAAACUUAGUACAUGUGUGAAUACAUAGACAAACAGAGAGUCACUAGUUUGCCUCUACUUGACUAUCUCAUUGAAUCAAUGAUGGUUAUGUUUCCUAACCAUAGACAUGAGUUGUCAUUUGAUUAACGGGAUUACAUCAUUAGAUAAUGAUGUGACUGACUUGACCCAUUCCAUUAUCUUAGCAUGAUGAUCGUUUAGUUUGCUACUAUUGCUUUCUUCAUGACUUAUACAUGUUACUAUGACUAUGAGAUUAUGCAACUCCCGAGUACAUGAGGAACACUUUGUGUGCUACCAAACAUCACAACAUAACUGGGUGAUUAUAAAGGUGCUCUACAGGUGUCUCCGAUGGUACUUGUUGAGUUGGCAUAGAUCGAGAUUAGGAUUUGUCACUCCGAUUGUUGGAGAGGUAUCUCUGGGCCCUCUCGGUAAUGCACAUCACUAUAAGCCUUGCAAGCAUUUUGACUAAUGAGUUAGUUGCGGGAUGAUGUAUUAUGGAACGAGUAAAGAGACUUGCCCGUAACAAGAUUGAACUAGGUAUGAGGAUAUCGACGAUCGAAUCUCGGGCAAGUAACAUACCGAUGACAAAGGGAACAACGUAUGUUGUUAUGCGGUUUGACCGAUAAAGAUCUUCAUAGAAUAUGUAGGAACCAAUAUGAGCAUCCAGGUUCCGCUAUUGGUUAUUGACCGGAGACGAGUCUCGGUCAUGUCUACAUAGUUCUCGAACCCGUAGGGUCCGCAUGCUUAAAGUUCAGUGACGAUCGGUAUUAUGAGUUUAUGUGUUUUGAUGUACCGAAGGUAGUUCGGAGUCCGGAUGUGAUCGCGGACAUGAUGAUGAGUCUCGAAAUGGUCGAGACGUAAAGAUUGAUAUAUUGGACGGCUAUAUUCGGACACCGGAAGUGUUCCGGAUGGUUUCGAAGAAAACCGGAGUGCCUAAUUGGUUAGCGGAACCCCCUCUCCCCCCCCCGGGGGGGGAGUAUUGGGCCUUAGUGGGCCUGAGGGGAGAGAGAGGGCUGCAGCCCAGGAGGUGGCGCGCCCCCUCCCAUGAGUCCGAAUUGGACUAGGGGAGGGGGGCGCGGCCCCUCUUUCCCUCUCCCUCUCCCUCUCCCUCUCUUUCCUUCCCCCUUUCCCCCUUCCUAGUAGGACUAGGAAAGGAUCAAUCCUACUCCUACUAGGAGGAGGAUUCCUCCUCUCCUUGGGGCGCACCAAGGCCAGCCGGCCUCCCCCCUUGCUCCUUUAUAUACGGGGCCGGGGGGGCACCCAAAGACACACAAGUUGAUUGUUCCAAGCCGUGUGCGGUGCCCCCCUCCACCAUAAUCCACCUCGAUCAUAUCAUAGUGGUGCUUAGGCGAAGCCCUGCGUCGGUAGCAACAUCAUCACCGUCAUCACACCAUCGUGCUAACGAAAGUCUCCCGCGAAGCUCUGCUGGAUCAGAGUUCAUGGGACGUCAUCGAGCUGAACGUGUGCUGAACUCGGAGGUGUCGUACGUUCGGUACUUGCAUCAGUCGGAUUGUGAAGACGUACGACUACAUCAACCGUGUUCUCAUAACGUUUCCGCUUACGGUCUACGAGGGUACGUGGACGAUACUCUCCCCUCUCAUUGCUAUGCAUCACCAUAAUCUUGCGUGUGCGUAGGAAUUUUUUUGAAAUUACUACGUUCCUCAACACCAGCAUACUACUCACUCCAUUCCUAAAUAUUUGUAUUUUUAGAGAUUUCAAAUGUACUACCAUAUACUGAUGUAUAUAUACAUACUUUAACGUGUAGAUUCACUCAUUUUGCUUCGUAUGUAGUCACUUGUUGAAAUAUCUAAAAAGACAAAUAUUUAGGAACGGAGUACUAGUUAAUAGGCGUAGGAGACAUCAGGAUUUAGGUUAACUAAAGAGGGUCAGAGGGUGCCCUCAAGGAUCCAAAUUUGCAUGUGUAUGGAUACUGAGAGGCUUGGUGGGAUUCCUAAAAAUUUUGUAUGCGCUGUGAGGGACAGUUCGCUUCUUUUACUGUUUUCGUAUUGGUUCAGGGACCGGACAUUAGGCCCUAUAGGGUGCUACAUUAAUAGAAGAAUAUUUUGUUACUAGUAACAUAAUAUAGUCCUAUACUCUUUAUAUAUUUUCAUGUUAUUUUUUCAUAGUUUUGUUUCAGUUGCAUAUGAAUUUGUACCUGCUUUUUAAAUAUGAAGAGCAUGCAAGAUAAGAUGAUGUAUCUUAGAGAAAAGUCCAUGUCACAACCCUUAACUUGCCACUCGAUUUAUCUAGUUAUUUGAUGAGUCAAAUCUGGUUAUCCAUCUUAGAAUCAUACUAGGCAAAAAAUACAAAGUUUGUUUAGUGAAAAUAAUGUCUAGAACAAUCUUCUCAUUUAUAGUGUGAUCUAUCAUAUAUUGACACACACAAGCUUACAUACUUAGCCCCACUCAAUCUAUGCAUAUCUGGAUAUGCCUAAUAUCAUGUGGAGCAUCACAAACUUAAUUCCAAAAGGAGGCAAAAUCUAGAUCAAUGUGUGUAGUGUAAAGUGAAAAAAAUGAGUCAUAGGUCGUUAUCAAGUAUGCCUUACAACUAAAUGAUAUGUGUAACAAAAAGCAACUAUCAUGAAUAAUCUAAAAUCACACAAGUAAAGUUGCCCCACCAACCACAACAUACCAAACGCUUAGUUGGAUAACCUUAUGAGCACUUUUCAGAAAGCAAGUGGAAAGAUGAAUGAAAUCAUACCAUGACAGCUAUAAAUACACCUUCAUCAUCAUAGCCACCUUUCAUCAUCCAAACUUCACGCACCAAGAUCAAAAACAUCUAUUCCAAGCAAGUAUUAGUAAUCAUAAACCCAACAUGAAGACCUUCCUCAUCUUCGUCCUCCUUGCCAUGGCGAUGAGCAUCGUCACUGCUGCUAGGCAGCUAAACCCUAGCAAGCAAGAGUUGCAAUCACCACAACAAUUAUAUCCGCAGCAACCAUAUCCACAGCAACCAUAUCCACCACAACAACCAUUUCCCACACCCCAACAAUAUUUCCCCCAUCAAUCACAACAACCAUUUUCCCCACCACAACAAUCAUUUCCCCAACCCCAACAAGCAACCCCCCUACAACCACAACAACCAUUCCCCCAGCAACCCCAACAACCACAACAAGCUUUUCCCCAACCCCAACAACAAUUUGCCUUGCAACCACAACAACAAUUUCCCCAGCUCCAACAACCACAACAAUCAUUCCCACAACAACCCCAGAGACCACACCCAUUCCCCCAACAACUAGAACAAGUAAUUUCACAGCAACCACAACAACCAUUCCUCCUGCAACCGCAACAACCAUUCCCCCAGCAANNNNNNNNNNNNNNNNNNNNNNNNNNNNNNNNNNNNNNNNNNNNNNNNNNNNNNNNNNNNNNNNNNNNNNNNNNNNNNNNNNNNNNNNNNNNNNNNNNNNNNNNNNNNNNNNNNNNNNNNNNNNNNNNNNNNNNNNNNNNNNNNNNNNNNNNNNNNNNNNNNNNNNNNNNNNNNNNNNNNNNNNNNNNNNNNNNNNNNNNNNNNNNNNNNNNNNNNNNNNNNNNNNNNNNNNNNNNNNNNNNNNNNNNNNNNNNNNNNNNNNNNNNNNNNNNNNNNNNNNNNNNNNNNNNNNNNNNNNNNNNNNNNNNNNNNNNNNNNNNNNNNNNNNNNNNNNNNNNNNNNNNNNNNNNNNNNNNNNNNNNNNNNNNNNNNNNNNNNNUAAAUCCCCAGCAACCCCAACAACCAUUUUCCCAGUCACGACAACCAUUUCCCCAGCAACCCCAACAACCAUUCCCACUGCAACCGCAACAACCAUUUCCCCAGCAAUCAGCACAAAUAAUUCCUCAGCAACCCCAACAACCAUUCCCUCUACAACCACAACAAUCAUUCCUUCGGCAAUCACAACAACCGUUCCUCCAACAACCACAACAACCAUCUCCCCAACCCCAACAAGUAGUACAAAUAAUUCCCCAGCAACCCCAACAACCAUUCCCUCUGCUGGCAAACCAACCUCAGCAACCUUAUCCACAACAGCAACCAUCAGGAGUAAUGGUAUAGGCAUCGGGGGCCAAGGAAAUGAAGAGCUAUAGUACUAGCCCGGCGGAUCAUCGUUGUUUAGUCAAUUGAGUGUUCAAUGUAACGAUGAUAAAUAAAGUGAUGUGUACCAUCAUGUGUAACCCCGACCUAUACUAGUUCAAACAUGAGAAUAAAAGACAAAGAAAGUUCUUGUCACAAGGACAUUGCUGGUAAUUAUUACAUUCAUGCCAUAUUUGGAUUUUCAUCCCAAAAUAUAAUUUGAGUCAUGUGCAUUAACUACCUAUUUAUGAAGUGAAGUCAUAUGAUCCUAACACAAUUAAUGAUUGUGAAACUUGGUUUAAUUGAAGUACUACCAAUUAAGGAGUAAUAAUUAAUUGCAUCUCUUUGGUGGCUAGCGAUGUGAAUUGUGUGACCUUAUUAUCUGAAAUGUUCUAGAUUGUACAUAGACACACUUUUUACAAUUGUUGAGG